GCUUUUUUAGUAUAAUAGUAUAUUUGGCUUCCAACCAGAAGGUCUAGAAUAAAAUCUAGAAAAAGCA